CAGCUUUUUGCCAUUUCCGUAGUGAUGCUGCAAGCAGAGAAAGGAUUAUGGAGGGACUUUCGAUACCUGCUGGUCACCAUACAAGGCAUAAUUCCUUUGUACGUGACAAGAAGAGGUUAAGAAAAUCUGAUUUUCAUGCCAACCAGAAGCAAACGAAACGUCGCGAAUGACACGCCUUCCUGCCGAUACAAAGGGGAGGGGCUCUUCAUGAAGCUGAGGGAGUCAGUUUUGAAGCAGCAAGGUUUUAAACAACCCCCUGUUUCAUUUAAUGCAUGAAAUAAUGACUUGCACAGUCCAAAUAUUUACUAUUGCACUUUUUAAGACAUGGGAACUUUUAAAGCUGAUUUUCUCCAAAUACCUGUUUUUCGCAGUUGAGAAAAGAUAACUCGACUAGUAUUUGCUCGAUUGUUAUGAAAUUUUCAGGAAUUGUUGCUCUAAGAGAGCUUUCUUGGAUAAGCAUAGAGAUUUUUGAAAUGUCUAAUUUUAAGGAAGUUAUGAAUCAAAACGUGACCACUUUCUUGUUCACAAACUUUGACCAACCACUGUGUCAAUUCCUUUUAUAAUAUAAAAAAGUUCUAUGCUUAUCCAAGAAAACCACUUGUAAUCUUUCAUGUGGCACAAAAAAUAAGCAAUUUAAUGCAAUACCCAGUCUUAAAUCUUUUCUCAAAGGAAGAUGGGGAACUCACAG